CGACCUCUGUUCAGGUGAGACUACCCCCUGGAUUUAAGCAUAUAAAUAAGGGGAGGAAAAGAAACUAAC
rnacentral:rRNA from 1 species